rnacentral:rRNA from 1 species
GACGAACGCCGGCGGCGUGCUUAACACAUGCAAGUCGAACGGUAAGGCCCUUCGGGGUACACGAGUGGCGAACGGGUGAGUAACACGUGGGUGAUCUGCCCUGCACUUCGGGAUAAGCCUGGGAAACUGGGUCUAAUACCGGAUAGGACUCCGGACUGCAUGGUCUGGGGUGGAAAGCUUUUGCGGUGUGGGAUGGGCCCGCGGCCUAUCAGCCUGUUGGUGGGGUGAUGGCCUACCAAGGCGACGACGGGUAGCCGGCCUGAGAGGGUGACCGGCCACACUGGGACUGAGAUACGGCCCAGAAUCCUACGGGAGGCAGCAGUGGGGAAUAUUGCACAAUGGGCGCAAGCCUGAUGCAGCGACGCCGCGUGAGGGAUGACGGCCUUCGGGUUGUAAACCUCUUUCAGCAUCGACGAAGCGAAAGUGACGGUAGGUGCAGAAGAAGGACCGGCCAACUACGUGCCAGCAGCCGCCGCGG